UGGGGAAUUUUGGACAAUGGGGGAAACCCUGAUCCAGCCAUCCCGCGUGUGCGAUGAAGGCCUUCGGGUUGUAAAGCACUUUUGGCAGGAAAGAAACGUCAUGGGUUAAUACCCCGUGAAACUGACGGUACCUGCAGAAUAAGCACCGGCUAACUACGGGCCAGCAGCCGCGGUAAUACGUAGGGUGCAAGAGUUAAUCGGAAUUAAUGGGCGUAAAGCGUGCGCAGGCGGUUCGGAAAGAAAGAUGUGAAAUCCCAGAGCUCAACUUUGGAACUGCAUUUUUCACUACCAGGCUAGAGUGUGUCAGAGGGAGGUGGAAUUCCGCGUGUAGCAGUGAAAUGCGUAGAUAUGCGGAGGAACACCGAUGGCGAAGUCAGCCUCCUGGGAUAACACUGACGCUCAUGCACGAAAGCGUGGGGAGCAAACA
rnacentral:rRNA from 1 species